AGCGAACGCUGGCGGCAGGCCUAACACAUGCAAGUCGAGCGGCCGUAGCAAUACGGCAGCGGCAGACGGGAGAGUAACACGUGGGAACGCGCCCUUCGGUCUGGAAUAACCCAGGGAAACUUGGGCUAAUACCGGAUACGCCCUUACGGGGAAAGAUCUAUUGCCGAAGGAACGGCCCGCGUCCGAUUAGCUAGUUGGUGAGGUAACGGCUCACCAAGGCGACGAUCGGUGGCUGGUCUGAGAGGAUGACCAGCCUCACUGGGACUGAGACACGGCCCAGACUCCGACGGGAGGCAGCAGUGGGGAAUAUUGGACAAUGGGCGCAAGCCUGAUCCAGCCAUGCCGCGUGGGUGAUGAAGGCCCUAGGGUUGUAAAGCCCUUUCAGCGGGGAAGAUAAUGACGGUACCCGCAGAAGAAGCCCCGGCUAACUUCGUGCCAGCCGCCGCCGUAAGAC
rnacentral:rRNA from 1 species